UACGGGGGGGGCAAGCGUUGUUCGGAAUUACUGGGCGUAAAGGGCUCGUAGGUUGCCAACUAAGUCAGACGUGAAAUCCCUCGGCUUAACCGGGGAACUGCGUCUGAUACUGGAUGGCUUGAGUUUGGGAGAGGGAUGCGGAAUUCCAGGUGUAGCGGUGAAAUGCGUAGAUAUCUGGAGGAACACCGGUGGCGAAGGCGGCAUCCUGGACCAACACUGACGCUGAGUGAGCGAAAGCCAGGGGAGCAAACGGG
rnacentral:rRNA from 1 species